rnacentral:sRNA from 1 species
GCUGGGCGCAGUGGCCCACGCCUGUCAUCCCAGCAGCUCAGGAGGCUGAGGCAGGAGGAUCAUGAGUUCCAAGCCAGCCUCAGCAAAAGUGAGGCAAUAAGCAACUUGGUGAGACCCUGUUUCUA